GCAGUGCUGGCUCAGUGCUUACAGCUCUGGACUACCGAUCGGAAGGUUGUGAGUUCAAAUCUCAGUACUGCU